AAGAGAUUUAAUAUAUCCAAACGAGCUAGCCUCUUGUAAAGACAAAGACAGUGAGGACUUUCGGAUCAAGGAGACUAUUUUCUCUUAUUUGUGAUCAUUUAAGGUUUCAAGGAUUGUCGGGAAGACUUGGAUGGAUGGUUCGAGGGAUUAAAGACACACAUGGAUUUUUUUUAAAAAGUUUAAAUUGUUUUGUACAAUUUUAAAAAGUUUAAAGACGCACAUGGAUUUUCAUAAGAUUUUAAAAUGUUUUGAUCAUUAUUUUUGACUUAUUUGAAAUAAUAUAAAGUUCAUGGAA